UAACAAGGAUUCCCCUAGUAACGGCGAGUGAAGAGGGAAGAGCUCAAAGUUAAAACCUGCUAGGUUUGCCUAGCCGGAUUGUAAACUAGAGAGGCAGCUUCCAGGCACGCCGUAUGAUAAAGUCCUUUGGAAUAAGGCACCAUAGAGGGUGAUAGUCCCGUACAUCAUGCGAGUAGUGUCUUUGUGUUGCGCUUCCAACGAGUCAGGUUGUUUGGUAUUGCAGCCUAAAGUGGGUGGUAAACCGCAUCUAAAGCUAAAUAUUGGCGAGAGACCGAUAGCGAACAAGUACCGUGAGGGAAAGAUGAAAAGAACUUUGAAAAGAGAGUUAAACAGUAUGUGAAAUUGCUAGAAGGGAAGCGUUUGAAGUCAG
rnacentral:rRNA from 1 species